AUUGAACGCUGGCGGCAUGCUUUACACAUGCAAGUCGAACGGCAGCGCGGGCUUCGGCCUGGCGGCGAGUGGCGAACGGGUGAGUAAUGCAUCGGAACGUGCCCAGUAGCGGGGGAUAGCCCGGCGAAAGCCGGAUUAAUACCGCAUACGACCUGAGGGUGAAAGCGGGGGACCGAAAGGCCUCGCGCUAUUGGAGCGGCCGAUGUCGGAUUAGCUAGUUGGUGGGGUAAAGGCUUACCAAGGCGACGAUCCGUAGCUGGUCUGAGAGGACGACCAGCCACACUGGGACUGAGACACGGCCCAGACUCCUACGGGAGGCAGCAGUGGGGAAUUUUGGACAAUGGGGGCAACCCUGAUCCAGCCAUGCCGCGUGCGGGAAGAAGGCCUUCGGGUUGUAAACCGCUUUUGUUCGGGAAGAAAUCCCCUGGGCUAAUACCCCGGGGGGAUGACGGUACCGGAAGAAUAAGCACCGGCUAACUACGUG
rnacentral:rRNA from 1 species